CCUACGGGAGGCAGCAGUGGGGAAUAUUGCACAAUGGGGGAAACCCUGAUGCAGCGACGCCGCGUGAGUGAAGACGUAUUUCGGUAUGUAAAGCUCUAUCAGCAGGGAAGAAAAUGACGGUACCUGAUUAAGAAGCCACGGCUAACUACGUGCCAGCAGCCGCGGUAAUACGUCGGGGGCAAGCGUUAUCCGGAUUUACUGGGUGUAAAGGGAGCGUAGACGGCAGCACAAGUCUGGAGUGAAAUGCCGGGGCUUAACCCCGGAACUGCUUUGGAAACUGGGCAGCUAGAGUGCAGGAGAGGUAAGUGGAAUUCCUGGUGUAGCGGUGAAAUGCGUAGAUAUUAGGAGGAACACCAGUGGCGAAGGCAGCUUACUGGACUGUAACUGACGUUGAGGCUCGAAAGCGUGGGGAGCGAACAGGAUUAGAUACCCCAGUAGUC
rnacentral:rRNA from 1 species